rnacentral:rRNA from 1 species
GCCCGGGGAUCGGGAAACGUCCUAUCAGGUAGUUGGUGAGGUAACGGCUCACCAAGCCUUAGACGGGUAGCGGGCGUGAGAGCGUGACCCGCCGCAUCGGGACUGAGACACUGCCCGGACUCCUACGGGAGGCUGCAGUAACGAAUAUUCCGCAAUGCGCGAAAGCGUGACGGUGCAAUGCCGCGUGAAGGAUGAAGCCCCUCGGGGUGUAAACUUCUGUCAGGGAAUAGGAACUAGAUGACCGUUCCCAAAGGAAGGGCCGGCUAACUUCGUGCCAGCAGCCGCGGUAAUACGAAGGGCCCGAGCGUUGCGCGGAAUCACUGGGCUUAAAGGGUGCGUAGGCGGAACUGUAAGUACUUUGUGAAAUCCCUCGGCUUAACCCGGGGUAUCCUUUGGUAUACUCCGUUCAUGAAGACAAGUUAGGGCCACUCGGAACUCUAGGUUGUAUCGGAGAAAGCCAUAGAUUUCUAGUGGUACCCCAAAUGGUGAAGACAUGGUUUUUGGCUUGGACCCGACCGCUGAGGCACGAAAGCUUUGGGAUCAAACUAGGAAUAGAUCCCCUGUUACUCCACGCCGUAUACGUUGUGCACUAGGUCCCGGAGGUUUAGAACGCCAUCCGGGGCUGGAACAAAAUAGUAUUCAUGUGCACCGCCUGAGGACUACGCUCGCAAGUGCUAUUACUUCGAAGGUAUUGACGGGGGCUCAGCACAAAGCGGUGGAGCAUGUGGCAUUAUUCGAAGCAACGCGAAGCACCUUAUCCUGGGUAUGACAUGUAUGGAUUAACCUCGUGUAAGCGAGGCCACGCCCUUUGGGUGGAACAUACACAGGUGCUGCAUGGCUGUUGUCAGCUCGUGCCGUGAGGUGUUAGGUUAAGUCCUUCAACGAGCGAAACCCUUGCCGUUAGUUGCCAGCGCGCCUUCGGUUGGCGGGGACUCUAGCGGGACUGCCGGUGUCAAACCGGAGGAAGGUGGGGAUGACGUCAAGUCCUCAUGGCCU